GAUCCUGGCUUAGGAUGAACGCUAGCUACAGGCUUAACACAUGCAAGUCGAGGGGCAGCAUUGGGAUAGCUUGCUAUUCAGAUGGCGACCGGCGCACGGGUGAGUAACGCGUAUCCAACCUUCCUGCCAGUAGGGAACAGCCCGGCGAAAGUCGGAUUAAUGCCCUAUGUUCUUCAAUGCGGACAUCUAAGUUGAAGGAAAGAUUCAUCGCUGGCAGAUGGGGAUGCGUCCGAUUAGCUUGCCGGCGGGUAACGGCCCACCGGGGCGACGAUCGGUAGGGGUUCUGAGAGGAAGGUCCCCCACACUGGUACUGAGACACGGACCAGACUCCUACGGGAGGCAGCAGUGAGGAAUAUUGGUCAAUGGGCGUAAGCCUGAACCAGCCAAGUAGCGUGCAGGAAUGACGGCCCUACGGGUUGUAAACUGCUUUUAUGCGGGGAUAAAGUGCGGCACGUGUGCCGCUUUGCAGGUACCGCAUGAAUAAGGACCGGCUAAUUCCGUGCCAGCCGCUGC
rnacentral:rRNA from 1 species